rnacentral:antisense_RNA from 1 species
AUGCCGGGGAUGCUGACCAGGGAGCUGGAGCCCGGAGUGCCCCCAACAGGCCAUAUCUGAAAGUCAUCUCUAUCAGGGAAGAAACUGAGGUUCAGUCUCCCCAGACACACUGGGCCAGCACUUUCCCAGGGAGCAGGACGUCAGAGGAGACUGAGGCCUGGGGUUCCCAGAAGUAUCUGCAAAUUGUUGGAAUUUCAGCAGGGAACAAGUGUUUUGGGUGAGGGUGUCUCUGAAAUCCCUUCCACCUGCCCCCUGCCCCCACUGCCUCCCCCAGCUCGGGCCUCCGGGUCUCCAGUUGGGCCCUCAUGUUGCUCCUUUCUGAGUCUGACCAGUAAGCCUCACGGCUCCCUCCGCCUGCCUCUUUGUGUCACUCCGGCCGUGCAGGGCAACAUGGAGUCCUAAUGAUCUCCAUCCUGUCUGUCUGCUGCAGU